UAGGCGGCGUCAGUCCGGAGAAGUACGUCCCUCUGAGCUCACUUCCGUCGGUUUGAGUUGGCUGUUCUUCCAGCGCCUCGCAGCUUUUGUUCUCCCAUUUCCAACUAGCCAGCGCUGCUGAGAAGAGGGAAUCAAUCAGUUGGGAAGCGGCAAACAGUAACGGACCCGUCGGUCGCACAAAAACGCCACAUGCAAAGCGCGGUCUGCAAAGAGGAUACGCGGUUCUCCGUAGUUACAUAAUUGGACUACUUUUUCCUCCCCGUAUACUGUUGGGUUUAUUUUUCUCCACGCUUUAUUUUUUGCACCGAAACUGACUGCCCCCCCUACACCUCCAAACUCAACAAAAUGGAGAACGACGACAAAUAUCUCCCCGAGCUUCUGGCAGAGAAGGACAGCCUGGACUCGUCGUUCACGCACGCCAUGAAACUUUUAAACGCGGAAAUUGACAGAAUCCAGAAAGGUGAGACUAAAAAGGAAACUGAGACAUACCUGGACCUUUUCACGACGAAGAACAUCAAACUCAAGGAGCGAGUGCUCAUACCUGUCAAACAGUACCCGAAGUUCAAUUUUGUGGGGAAGAUUUUGGGACCUCAGGGCAACACAAUCAAACGUCUGCAGGAGGAGACUGGAGCCAAGAUCUCUGUGCUGGGCAAAGGAUCCAUGAGAGACAAAGCCAAGGAGGAGGGGCUGAGGAAAAGCGGUGAGCCCAAGUAUGCCCACCUCUCCAUGGAGCUGCACGUGUUCAUCGAGGUUUUUGCGCCUGUGCCCGAGGCUUACCUGCGCAUGGCCCACGCCAUGGAGGAGGUCAAGAAGUUCCUGUUUCCGGAUAUGAUGGAUGAUAUCUGCCAGGAGCAGUUCAUGGAGAUGAGCUACCUGAACGGAGGCCAGGAUCACGGAGCCCGAGGCCGAGGUGGCCUGCCAGUCAGGGGCCGCGGUGUCCCCCCUGCAGGAGCACACAGGGGCAGGGGAAUGCCGCCUCGUGGUGCUGCCGCCAGGGGAGGUGUGACUCGAGGUGGCCCAGCCAGAGGUGGCGCAGUGAGGGGUGCCCCAGCAGGCAGAGGAGGACCUCCCGCAGCACCUGCCAGGGGAGCUGUGGCACCCCGUGCCAGACUCAUAGCUGGAGGACCUCCCCAGAGGAUGCCACCACCGCCUCCACACCAGCACAACCCCGGUGCAGCUGCAGAAGGCUAUGACGAAUAUGGCUACGAUGAGAGCUACACAGACACGGCCUACGAGUCUUACGACAGCUAUUACAGUCAGCCGCAGGCAGAGCCAGAAUAUUAUGACUAUGGACAUGGGGAGACCACAGAGUCGUACGAGUCCUAUGGCCAGGAUGACUGGAACGGCACCCAGCGGACAACUCCAGGGAAGGCCCCUCCCCCCUCUCGAGGCGGCAAGACGACUUACCGGGAGCACCCAUAUCGACAGUACUGAAGCGGACUCGCCACCCUUAGUGUCGCCCUGACAAGCGCCUGUCUACCACGGCAGCUCUCGCUUUAAGAAGCCCGACAAAAGACCCAGAGGUAAGACCUCUAAAAUAACCUGGAUAGCUUCCUAAUGUGUAUAGAGUUCUAAAGCAUUGAAUGCCUGGGUACGUAUAAGACUUUUUCAAUCCUCCUACCUGUGGUCGUAAUCCUUAAUGAGAAUUGCUUUUAUAGCAUCUGAAAAUUAACUGAGUUCAAACCACCAUUCAGGUCUAGGCUUCAUUGUCAUGAAUGACAGCUGGCGCGAUGGCUACUUUAGUACAGAGUGUAAUGGCAGUGCAAUGGAGAGGAUGGUUAUAACCUAGAGAACUCCACUGUAAAGUCAUGGCAUCAAAAAAGAAUCGACUCAAAAGCACAGCUAUCGGUCACUGAGUGCCCGGAGACUGACGGUCGGCUGGACAGAGACCAUGCAAACGUCAGUUGAAGCCGUGCACGGGAGCAGCUCAGCAUGGUGUCGUGGUCAGACGGAGCUGAAAAGGAGUGGCCUCGAGGCCCAGUUCUGUUCCUGGCAGGGGUUGUGGGAGGUGAUGGGGGUGGGUGGGGGAAGGGAAGAGGAGCAAAUGGGUGGUGAGAGGUGGCCGGCUGCCAUGUCAUCCAAAGGAGCCAGCUGAUUUAGAGGUUGGGGGGAGAUGAGGAAAAAGAGAAAGGAGCCGGUUGAGACUGCAGCUGGUCAGUGAGCAGACUGAGAAUCCAGAGACUCCCAUUUCACGUGGACUCUUUCCUCCUAUUUAUAUAUUUCUCGUCACUAUCGAAUUAGAGCACAUUAUUCUCGUGUUAAUUAUUUUCAAGUCUGGAAGACGCCCACUCGAAGCCUGCGCUGAUUGUGCACACUUUUGCGCGUGGCUUCCGCAGACCACCCCGUGGUCCGAGCAAUGUAAUUGUCACAGCCUAAUUUACCAUAAAAUGAGCGCUCCUGUUAUAGCAGGCUGUGAAAUCAUUUUUAAUUUCCUUUAACUGUUGAGUUUGACAUAAAAGGAAACUCUUACUUUCCACCAAGGCGAGCUGUAUCCGUUUCACCAGCCAGCAGUUUUGUAUCCCGGCACUGAAUUAGAAUCCAGGCUCAAGAGUUAGAAAUGAUCGGUGUCUCGCUGAGGACGAGUUCGCGAAACGCACUCUUGCCACCUCUCGCACGAGCCCCAUGCGACGCCGCGGAUAAUGAAUGCUAAUGCUAAGCACAUGCAAAUGCUUCCUAUUUGCAUGUGCUUGCAUGUACCCUCGCCGCAUAUGUGAAAGGCUUUCAUAAGCAGCGCUGGCCUGUUCUUUGCAGUUCAGCAUCCAAGAAUUAGAAUUCGACGAGAUGGAGUCGCAUGUGAGAAAGGGACAGAGGGUGAAGGCAGACAUUACUAACAUCCCUGCCAUCCAUCUAUCCAUCAUGCUUGUGUUGAUUUGAUUCCCCUCUCUGCCAUUUUCUGCCAUUAUCACUGAUGAUAUUACAGCUGCCUGUGGUGCUGAGUUACAUUUAGAGGUCAAAACUGUACUUUCCUGUAUUAAAAACAAAUUUGUGUCCCGAUCCGCUGGUCAGAGGCAGCAUUAGCCAAGUCAGAGGCUCCAUUUCGUUUAUUGAAAAAGCCAGCAGCUCUGAGGAUAGAACAUUAGAUAUUAGGAUAGAAACCAUCAUUUGAGAUGAAAUGUCAACGGGCCAUAGCCAAAACAGACCAUUUUUCAGUCUUUAUGUGCCAUUAUGUCUAAAAUAAUGAUUUCUGCGUCUCCUGUAAUCUAAUGAAAGAUGAGUGAUGGUGUGGAAGCCGCUUCCUUUGUUUGGAUCGAUGGAACUGUCAAAAGUGUGAGGUUUGGAAGUAAAUACUACUGUGCAUUGAUCAAUAAAGGUUGACUUGAAUAUAAAA